rnacentral:rRNA from 1 species
CCAAGGCGUAGUGGUAGUGAGGCUCGCGCUGUGUCCCUAUUCUUACCGCUCCUCUUGGGGAGCGGGGAUGUGGGCGCGGAGUGACGAGGUGAGAUCCCGUUGUUAGGCACUCUUUCGCUGUGAUUGUGUGUGCACAGUCGAGGCCGGCGGGAAACUCACCGGCCCGUCCCAUGGUGUGUGCAUCGACUACGGUUAGGCUUCGAAAGUGCGUGCGUGCCUGCGUGUUGGUGUUCGGAUCUACGCCAGUCGUUGCGUCAUCGUUCCGCUGGCUGAGCAUAAAUGUUGAGACCCUAAAGAUGUUUAACUAUGCUUGCGGAAUGCGCAGCCAGAGGAAACUCUGCUGGAGGACCGUAGCGAUUCUGAAGUGCCAAUCGAUCGUCAAACGUGAGUAUAGAAGCCAUAGAGUAAUCGAACCAUCUAGUAGCUGGUUCCCUCCGAAGUUUCCCUCAGGAUAGCUGUGAUUCAUUGAGAUAAUCAGUUUUAUCCGGUAAAGACAAUGACUAGAGUUGCUGCUUUCCGAAACGAGCUCAACGCUAUUCUAAAACUUUAAAUGGAAUAGAGACUCAGACUCGCCCCGCUAUGCUCUACCCCGCGUGGUUUCGCAGAAACCUGUGCUUGUUUUAAAAAGUGAA